rnacentral:rRNA from 1 species
GAUGAACGCUGGCGGCGUGCCUAACACAUGCAAGUCGAACGGAGUCAUUUUGGAAAGUUCUUCGGAACUGGAAUCUAUGACUUAGUGGCGGACGGGUGAGUAACGCGUGAGCAAUCUGCCCUUGACUUUGGGAUAACUUCAGGAAACUGGGGCUAAUACCGGAUAGGAGCUCCUGCUGCAUGGUGGGGUUGGAAAGUUUCGGCGGUUGGGGAUGGACUCGCGGCUUAUCAGCUUGUUGGUGGGGUAGUGGCUUACCAAGGCUUUGACGGGUAGCCGGCCUGAGAGGGUGACCGGCCACAUUGGGACUGAGAUACGGCCCAG